CGUAGGGGGCUAGCGUUGUCCGGAAUCAUUGGGCGUAAAGAGCGUGUAGGCGGUCCGGUAAGUCCGCUGUGAAAGUCGGGGGCUCAACCCUCGAAUGCCGGUGGAUACUGUCGGGCUAGAGUGCGGAAGAGGCGAGUGGAAUUCCUGGUGUAGCGGUGAAAUGCGCAGAUAUCAGGAGGAACACCUAUCGCGAAGGCAGCUCGCUGGGACGUAACUGACGCUGAGACGCGAAAGCGUGGGGAGCAAACAGGAUUAGAUACCCUGGUAGUCCACGCUGUAAACGAUGGGCACUAGGUGUGGGGGGUGUCGACUCCCUCCGUGCCGAAGCUAACGCAUUAAGUGCCCCGCCUGGGGAGUACGGCCGCAAGGCUA
rnacentral:rRNA from 1 species